UUAACAAAAACAUGUCUUUUUGAGAAUAAUUUAAAGUCUAAUCUGCUCAAUGAAGAUUAAAUUGCCGCAGUAUUUUGACUGUGCAAAGGUAGCAUAAUAAUUAGCUUCUUAAUUAGAAGCUGGAAUGAAUGAUUGGACAAGAAAAUUUCUGUCUCUAUUUAAAUGUUUAUUGAAUUUUAUUUUUAAGUUAAAAAGCUUAAAUUUAUAUAAAAGACGAGAAGACCCUAUAGAGUUUAAUAUUUUUUAUUUAUUUAAUUUUAGAAUUUUUUUUGAAUUUUAAAUAUUUAAUUGGGGUGAUUUAAAGAUUUGAAUAAUUCUUUAAUUUUUUUAUUGAUGAUAAUUAAGUUUUAAAUCUAUAUUUUUAAAUUUAAUAUAAAUUACCUUAGGGAUAACAGCGUAAUUUUUCUUUAAAGCUCUUAUUAAAAGAAGAUUUUGCGACCUCGAUGUUGGAUUAAAAUUAAUUUUUGGUGCAGUAACUUAAAAAUUGGGUCUGUUCGACCUUUAAAAUUUUACAUGAUCUGAGUUUAAACCGGUGUAAGCCAGGUUGGAUUCUAUCUUUAGAUUUAUUACAUAUUUUAGUACGAAAGGACCAAAUAUUUAUUAUAAUAAUUG
rnacentral:rRNA from 1 species